GGGAGGAUGGCCGAGUGGUUAUGGCGCUACGUUUAGGCUUUCGCGAAAGUUGAAACCGUAGUGGGAUUUCCCGCCCGAGUUCGAACCUCGGUCCUCUCA